rnacentral:lncRNA from 1 species
CUGGCACCCUGCCCAGAGGCAUGAGNNNNNNNNNNGGCCCAUGGGGCUCAUUCCUCACAACAGCCUUUCCAGUCCCAGUUUUUCCCUUCUGGCGGCCUCUCCGGGCUGAGAACCUCCUCAAGUCGGCCUCUCCAGACUCACUUGCACCCUCCAGGCGUCCUCUCCGGGCCAAGCUCCUCUUCCUGGCUGCGUCUCCAGGCCUGACUCCUGCCUCUCCGGUCGGUGGGCUCCUCCACGCCAAGCUUGGGCCUCCCGGUGACCUCUGCAGGCCCAAGUUGUCCUGAAGUCGGCAUCUCCCAGCCAU